AGAGUUUGAUCAUGGCUCAGAACGAACGCUGGCGGCAUGCCUAACACAUGCAAGUCGAACGAGACCUUCGGGUCUAGUGGCGCACGGGUGCGUAACACGUGGGAAUCUGCCCUUCGGUUCGGAAUAACAGUUAGAAAUGACUGCUAAUACCGGAUGAUGACGAAAGUCCAAAGAUUUAUCGCCGAAGGAUGGGCCCGCGUAGGAUUAGGUAGUUGGUGGGGUAAUGGCCCACCAAGCCGACGAUCCUUAGCUGGUCUGAGAGGAUGAUCAGCCACACUGGGACUGAGACACGGCCCAGACUCCUACGGGAGGCAGCAGUGGGGAAUAUUGGACAAUGGGCGAAAGCCUGAUCCAGCAAUGCCGCGUGAGUGAUGAAGGCCUUAGGGUUGUAAAGCUCUUUUACCAGGGAUGAUAAUGACAGUACCUGGAGAAUAAGCUCCGGCUAACUCCGUGCCAGCCGCCGCGGUAAUUC
rnacentral:rRNA from 1 species